rnacentral:rRNA from 1 species
UGGGGAAUAUUGGACAAUGGGCGAAAGCCUGAUCCAGCCAUGCCGCGUGUGUGAAGAAGGUCUUCGGCUUGUAAAGCACUUUAAGUUGGGAGGAAGGGCAGUAAGCGAAUACCUUGCUGUUUUGACGUUACCGACAGAAUAAGCACCGGCUAACUCUGUGCCAGCAGCCGCGGUAAUACAGAGGGUGCAAGCGUUAAUCGGAAUUACUGGGCGUAAAGCGCGCGUAGGUGGUUCGUUAAGUUGAAUGUGAAAGCCCCGGGCUCAACCUGGGAACUGCAUCAAAAACUGGCGAGCUAGAGUAGGGCAGAGGGUGGUGGAAUUUCCUGUGUAGCGGUGAAAUGCGUAGAUAUAGGAAGGAACACCAGUGGCGAAGGCGACCACCUGGGCUCAUACUGACACUGAGGUGCGAAAGCGUAGGGAGCAAACAGG